GUGAGUGCAUGUGUGGGACGGUGUGUGUGUGUGCUUGGGUCUGUGUCUGUGUGUGCGUGCUUGUGUGUGUGCGGGCAUGUAAGCAUGUGUGUGUGUGUGUGUGUGUGUGUGGAGUUCUGUGUCAAAGACAGUGAACCCGAAUCAGUCUAAAUGAGCGUUGAACACAUCAACACAGAAUCUGAGCUAACACUGAUUAGCGCAUGAGCCAAUUAGCAUGUGUCUCUCCAUUCACUAAGCACCAGAAGUGACAGCAGAAGAUGUUUCACAACCACAGAGGACCUAUUGGGGGACUUUGGCAGCAUAACACUGUUCAACGACCGUUUAAACUAUAUAAAUACUCCAAAAUCCUAUUUUUCAGACCUUCUGUUUCCAUAGUGAUGCUGCCCUGUUCUCAACAGUUUGGAGUGGUUUGGAAGCACACACACAGACACGCAUAAACACGCACAUGCACAUGCACUCACACACUGACACAACCAUACACAAACACACACUGACACACACUAACGAACAAACACACACACGCUCACACACACACA